AUUGAACGCUGGCGGCAUGCCUUACACAUGCGAGUCGAACGGCAGCGGGCCCUUCGGGGUGCCGGCGAGUGGCGAACGGGUGAGUAAUGCAUCGGAACGUACCCGGGAGAGGGGGAUAACCGGCCGAAAGGCUGGCUAAUACCGCAUGAACUCGGAAGAGCAAAGCGGGGGACCUUCGGGCCUCGCGCUCUCGGAGCGGCCGAUGUCCGAUUAGGCUAGUUGGUGGGGUAAAGGCCCACCAAGGCGACGAUCGGUAGCGGGUCUGAGAGGACGAUCCGCCACACUGGGACUGAGACACGGCCCAGACUCCUACGGGAGGCAGCAGUGGGGAAUCUUGGACAAUGGGCGCAAGCCUGAUCCAGCAAUGCCGCGUGGGUGAAGAAGGCCUUCGGGUUGUAAAGCCCUUUCGGCGGGGAAGAAAUCGGUCAGGCGAAUAGUCUGGCCGGAUGACGGUACCCGCAGAAGAAGCACCGGCUAACUACGUG
rnacentral:rRNA from 1 species